UCCCCUCCUCCCCCCCAGGCAGCCUGACUCCUCCCCAGGUCUGUCCCUGUCCAGUCCAGAGCUGCUGUCAGAGCUGACCAGGAGACAGACAUGUCCUCUGAGACGCGUCCAGAAGCGCAGCGGACUGACCACCGUCUUCUCAGGACGAGGACGACAGGUCUCUGGCUCCUCCCCCUAGGCUGAGCCAGCCAAUAGGAGAGCUGCUGCUCCUCUCUCUACCUCCACAUCACAAUUUGAGCCAGAAAACUGAACCACUGAGUCCAUGGAGCGUCACACACAGAAGCCCCGCCCCAUUGUGACCACGUCCGGUUCAAGCCCCGCCCCCUGCGCUGCAAAUGUUUUAGUUGUAAAGAGAUAAAGAUCAUAAAGUUUAAUUUUGUUAUGAAAUACAUAUCUAAAAGUAAAGAAUACAGUAAAGUUCAGUGGAUGCUGCUCCAUCAGAACCGGGUCAUGUGACUGCUGUCAUGUUUCUACCAACCCAGAACCAAGAUGGUGGUUCAGCAGAACCUCAGGUCCGGUUCAGAACCCAACAGAACCAAACUGUUCAGUUAUGAUUUUAUUAACUCUGCCAUUCAUUCAUUAAUAAAUAGUUCAGCCAAUGAAUUAAUGAGCUGAUAAAUGAAACAAUAAGAAAGGAAAUAAUCACAAAAAGGGCAUAAAGGUAUUUUUUAAGGUUGUUCUCAGAUGUUAGAAUUUAUCUUUGCGAGGUCAUUGUGGUUCAUUUUCACUCUUUUCUACAGAGAUUUAUAACAUUUGGAGAAAAAGUAAACAUGCUGAACACUUCAAAUGAUAAAAAGACUUCUAACAAUGUAUGAGUUUUAAUGGAAAUUUGUUUAAUUGUGCAAUAAAUAUGUAAAA